GGCAGGAGCCCGAGCUGGGGCGUGGGCGUCCGUGCGACUGCUGAGUCGCACCCAGGCGUUGUGAUUUUAGAAAACUUCAGAGUUCUGAGACAAAAGGCAGAACCGUCCGUCAAGAGCCGUGGUCCUUCAGAAGGCAACUUUACACCACAGCCGUGGGAUUCCGUGGGGAGGUCGCAGUGUGGACAGAAGACCCAGCAGUAGCACCAAAGGCUUCCGGACUCCUGAGAGGCCCUGGAGGGUGCAGCCUUCGGGAGGAGGCUGAGGCAAGUUGCCAACACAGAAGGAUGAAGAAAAGCCCGGUAAGACUAUCUCUUCAUUCAUUCAGAGAUGUUUGUGUGCAAGAUGCUGCUGAUGCCCCACAUUUUGGGCUUACUUGAAAGGUAGAUUGCUCCUGUUCAUUGUGGGAAACACAGCUGCCAUGUGAACAAGUGAACAAGUCCAUGUGAACAAGUCCAGCAACCUGCUGGAGGAUGAGAGACCACGUGGAGCAGAGAUGAGCCGUUCCAGCUGAGCCCCGCCCACAUUGAUGACACAAGAAUUAUGAACUAAAUAAAUGGUUGUUUGUUCCCACACAUCUGAGGCACAGGAAUUGUGUCCUUCAGUUUGGUGAAUUCUUCCAUCUGGAUGCUGUGGAAAGAAGAAUGUGCUUCCAUGAGAACCUGAUGAAAAGCAUUUUCCUCCUUCGAAUCAGGUGACUCAACUUUGGUGUCUUGCUAUAUGACCUCGGUGACACAGUUUCUAAAGUCUCUAAAAUGUCGCUUAUAAUCCACGCACCGGGGUUGGUGUGAGUCUUAAAUGUGACAGGAUAUGUGAGAGUGAUCUUUACGUUGUUAAGUACUUAACAAGUGUAAGUUAUUUUUAAAUAUAAAACAAUCUAUGAAGCUCUUUCUCCAAAGCAGCUGCACUGAUCCCCCCUUUGGAGAGUGUGGACGGCAAUUAAAGUCAGUUUACAAGCUUGUACACAUUCUUCACAGAAUUUGAGCUUGUUCCAACUUGUUUGUGCAGUUAAUUGGUGGCAUGGACUAUGCCAAAUGUACGUUUGUAAUUUUCUGCUUGCUGUGUAAGUAGUAGGAGUCACCCAGCUCACCGACGCUUAGGUAUUU
rnacentral:lncRNA from 1 species